GCUCUCAGGCCCCGCCUCCCCGGGGCCGGCUCGGGCCACUUCUUGCGCGCUGCCAGAAGGAGCUAUUUUGAGCAGGCGGAAUUUUGCUCUGGUGGCCCAGGCUGGAGUGCAGUGGUGCGAUCUUGGCUCACUGCAACCUCUGCCUCCCAGAUUCAAGCAAUUCUCCUGCCUCAGCCUCCCAAGUCGCUGGGAUUACAGGUGCCUGCCACCAUGCCCAGCUUCAAGGAGACUCUGCAUUCAAAAGACCACUCCCGGGCACUGCCUUCUACCAACUUCCCCAUCCAGCUCUGAUUGCAUCGGACCACUGUCUUCCCUCCAUGCCUCCAGCCCUGAGGUUGUCAACGGGGUGCUCCAGCCUCCAUGUGCACCCUGUGACUUCUUUCAUCCUAGUCCUUCUGACCCUCGUGGCUUCUCCUGCUCCAAGGCCAAGCUCGGGACCCUGUCAUCAUCCCCGGGGACAGGCCCCAUCUUAGAGAGGAUCCACCCAGCUCCCCGCUCCUGAGCCAUCUUCCAGCUAUCCCGCCUCGAGACUCCCACCGCACCUGCUCCUGGGCUGCAGCUGCACCCAACAAGUCAACAUGUGGAUUGCUUCUAGAAUUUGGAUAUUAUGAACACUGCUGUGCUGAACAUUCUUGUACACUUAUAUGGUUUGGCUGUGUCCCCACCCAAAUCUCAUCUUGAAUUGUAGCUCCCAUAAUUCCUAUGUGUCGUGGGAGGGACCCAAUGGGAGGUAAUUGAAUCAUAGGGGCAGGUCUUUCCCCUGCUGUCCUUAUGAUAGUGAAUAAGUCUCAUGAGAUCUGAUGGUUUUAUACAUGGGAGUUCCCCUGCACAAGCCCUCUUGUCUGCCGCCAUGUAAGAUGUGCCUUUGCUUCUCCUCUGCCUUCCACCAUGAUUGUGAGGACUCCCCAACCAUGUGGAACUGUGAGUCCAUUAAACCUCUUUCCUUUGUAAAUUA